AUGGCAUCCAAGGACCAUGGAGGCGGCGCUCCUCGGAAAGACGGAUCUGACGACGACUGCGGCUGCGGGUCCUGGACGAUGGCACUGCUCCUGUACACAUCCUUCUGGCUGGUCAUGAUGUACCUGCCGCCGAUGGAUUCCUUGCCCGGGAUUCGGGAGCUCGACGGCUCGCCGCCAUGCAACGACGACAAGUCGACCACGUGCUCCGUGGAGCUAGCCGGCGCCAGGGGGCUGGCUCCGGGCGCGACCUCGCCGGCCUUCGACCUCGUCGUGCACGUGGACAACGGCCACAUCUACGAGCUGUGCCAUGGCGGCGGCGACGUCGUCGUGUCCUACGCGGGCGUGCCCCUCGCGCGCGGGCGCACGCCCGGCUUCCGGCUGGCGGCCAAGAGCACGGGGCGGUGGGCGGUGAACGUGACGGGCGCGGGGCUAGGGAUCCCAGCGGAUUUAUCUCGUCUCGUGACGGCGGAACGGAGAUGGGGGGUGGCCCAGCUGGAGAUCGACAUGGCCCUGGCCUGGCAGUCCUUCACGUGCGACGUUUUCGUCGACAGACUACCCGGCGCAUCAGCGUGCAGGCUAGUUUAA
rnacentral:rRNA from 1 species